CUGGAGGAAGAGUCCCUCCAUGGAAGGGUGGGAGCCCGGUGCCCAGGUGUCUCCAGGAACCCAGAGAGACAUCAGAUGGGAGGAGCUUUCAGUCCUUCUCCACAUGACAGGAGAAGGAAGCAAGGAAAUACCCAGACAGUUCUGUGAAAAAGGAAAGCCAUGCUACAACCAAAAUGUUCCUUUACCUGAGUACAACUCCAGCUCAAGGUACCUGCUGAGUUAUACACAGAGCUGUGAACCUCACACCAUUUGGGCAGCACUUGCCCCAGGUCCCAUGCUUUGUAAUGGUCCUUCCUCCCCCUUGGUGCCCAGGUCCUGUGAUCUAUGAGGCCCACGUCAGAGCGCCCCCUCCCCCCAGAGCUGAACCUGCUUUGCACUUUCCAGGCAUUGUGAUA
rnacentral:lncRNA from 1 species